UACGUAGGUGGCAAGCGUUGUCCGGAUUUAUUGGGUUUAAAGGGUGCGUAGGCGGCCCUGUAAGUCAGUGGUGAAAGCCUCCAGCUCAACUGGAGAACUGCCAUUGAUACUGCAGGGCUUGAGUACAGACGAGGUUGGCGGAAUUGAUAGUGUAGCGGUGAAAUGCAUAGAUACUAUCAAGAACUCCGAUUGCGUAGGCAGCUAACUAGGCUGUAACUGACGCUGAGGCACGAAAGCGUGGGGAGCGAACAGG
rnacentral:rRNA from 1 species